UUAUACGAAUUGAUAUACCAGCUCUUCCCACAACAGCGACACAAACCUAGAGGGAUCUGUGUGAGCACGAUUCAACAGCUGAACCACUUCUAUGUUGAGAUUGCAUAUUUUGGCAGAAGCCAGCUGUCAUGUCCUGAGCAGUGCAUUGGAGAGGCCCAUGUGGUGAGGAACUGAAAUCUCCUGCCAAAGGCAGCCAUCAAGGUGCCCUCCAGUGAAUGGAGACU